rnacentral:rRNA from 1 species
AAGUGCGAAUGCUGACAUGAGUAGCGAUAAAGGGGGUGAAAGGCCCCCUCGCCGUAAGCCCAAGGUUUCCUACGCAACGUUCAUCGGCGUAGGGUGAGUCGGCCCCUAAGGCGAGGCAGAAAUGCGUAGCUGAUGGGAAGCAGGUCAAUAUUCCUGCACCAUUGUUAGAUGCGAUGGGGGGACGGAUCGCGGAAGGUUGUCCGGGUGUUGGAAGUCCCGGUCGCUACUAUGGAGAAGGCGCUUAGGCAAAUCCGGGCGUAGGAUUCAAGGGUGUGGCGCGAGCUCCUUCGGGAGCGAAGCAAUUGGAAGUGGUUCCAAGAAAAGCCUCUAAGCUUCAGUCUAACGAUGACCGUACCGCAAACCGACACAGGUGGGCGAGAUGAGUAUUCUAAGGCGCUUGAGAGAACUCGGGAGAAGGAACUCGGCAAAUUGGUACCGUAACUUCGGGAUAAGGUACGCCCUGGUAGCUUGACUGGCCUGCGCCAGAAGGGUGAAGGGGUUGCAAUAAACUGGUGGCUGCGACUGUUUAAUAAAAACACAGCACUCUGCAAACACGAAAGUGGACGUAUAGGGUGUGACGCCUGCCCGGUGCCGGAAGAUUAAAUGAUGGGGUGCAAGCUCUUGAUUGAAGUCCCGGUAAACGGCGGCCGUAACUAUAACGGUCCUAAGGUAGCGAAAUUCCUUGUCGGGUAAGUUCCGACCUGCACGAAUGGCGUAACGAUGGCCACACUGUCUCCUCCCGAGACUCAGCGAAGUUGAAGUGUUUGUGAUGAUGCAAUCUACCCGCGGCUAGACGGAAAGACCCCAUGAACCUUUACUGUAGCUUUGCAUUGGACUUUGAACCGAUCUGUGUAGGAUAGGUGGGAGGCUAUGAAACCGGAACGCUAGUUUCGGUGGAGCCGUCCUUGAAAUACCACCCUGGUUUGUUUGAGGUUCUAACCUUGGCCCGUGAUCCGGGUCGGGGACAGUGCAUGGUAGGCAGUUUGACUGGGGCGGUCUCCUCCCAAAGCGUAACGGAGGAGUACGAAGGUACGCUAGGUACGGUCGGAAAUCGUGCUGAUAGUGCAAUGGCAUAAGCGUGCUUAACUGCGAGACCGACAAGUCGAGCAGGUGCGAAAGCAGGUCAUAGUGAUCCGGUGGUUCUGUAUGGAAGGGCCAUCGCUCAACGGAUAAAAGGUACUCUGGGGAUAACAGGCUGAUACCGCCCAAGAGUUCAUAUCGACGGCGGUGUUUGGCACCUCGAUGUCGGCUCAUCUCAUCCUGGGGCUGUAGCCGGUCCCAAGGGUAUGGCUGUUCGCCAUUUAAAGAGGUACGUGAGCUGGGUUUAAAACGUCGUGAGACAGUUUGGUCCCUAUCUGCCGUGGGCGUUGGAAGUUUGAAGGGGGCUGCUCCUAGUACGAGAGGACCGGAGUGGACGAACCUCUGGUGUACCGGUUGUGACGCCAGUCGCAUCGCCGGGUAGCUAUGUUCGGAAGAGAUAACCGCUGAAAGCAUCUAAGCGGGAAACUCGCCUUAAGAUGAGACUUCCCCGGGGACUUGAUCCCCUUGAAGGGUCGUUCGAGACCAGGACGUUGAUAGGUCGGGUGUGUAAGCGCAGUAAUGCGUUCAGCUAACCGAUACUAAUUGCCCGUACGGCUUGAUCCU